GAUUGAGUAACACAUGAGUAACCUGCCUUAUACAGGGGGAUAACACUGCAAGUCGAACGGAAACUAGACGCUUCGGAGACUUCGGUCAAUGUUUGUUUAGUUUUAGUGGCGGACGGGUGAGUAACACAUGAGUAACCUGCCUUAUACAGGGGGAUAACACUUAGAAAUAGGUGCUAAUACCGCAUAAUAACUCUUUAUGGCAUCAUAGAGGGGAGGAAAGGAGUUUUCCAGUAAAAGAUGGGCUCAUGUUCGAUUAGCUAGUUGGUGGGGUAAGAGCCUACCAAGGCGACGAUCGAUAGCCGAACUGAGAGGUUGAACGGCCACAUUGGAACUGAGAAACGGUCCAGACUCCUACGGGAGGCAGCAGUGGGGGAUAUUGCGCAAUGGGGGAAACCCUGACGCAGCAACGCCGUGUGAAGGAAGAAGGCUUUAGGGUUGUAAACUUCUUUGAUUAGGGACGAAAGAAAUGACUGUACCUAACGAACAAGCCACGGCUAACUACGUGCCAGCAGCCGCGGGUAUACGUAGUGGCGAGCGUUGUCCGGGAAUACUGGGUGUAAAGGGCGAGUAAGGUGGGGAUGGAGAAGUCCGGAUGUGAAUUCGUUAGCUCCACUACCAAGCUGCAUCUGAACUGACAUUCUUUGUAUGCUGGUAGGGAACCGGCAAUUCCUUCUCUCUAUAUGCGUGAAUAGAGACGUCG
rnacentral:rRNA from 1 species